UUAAGCGACUAAGCGUACACGGUGGAUGCCCUGGCAGUCAGAGGCGAUGAAGGACGUGCUAAUCUGCGAUAAGCGUCGGUAAGGUGAUAUGAACCGUUAUAACCGGCGAUUUCCGAAUGGGGAAACCCAGUGUGAUUCGUCACACUAUCAUUAACUGAAUCCAUAGGUUAAUGAGGCGAACCGGGGGAACUGAAACAUCUAAGUACCCCGAGGAAAAGAAAUCAACCGAGAUUCCCCCAGUAGCGGCGAGCGAACGGGGAGCAGCCCAGAGCCUGAAUCAGUGUGUGUGUUAGUGGAAGCGUCUGGAAAGGCGCGCGAUACAGGGUGACAGCCCCGUACACAAAAAUGCACAUGCUGUGAGCUCGAUGAGUAGGGCGGGACACGUGGUAUCCUGUCUGAAUAUGGGGGGACCAUCCUCCAAGGCUAAAUACUCCUGACUGACCGAUAGUGAACCAGUACCGUGAGGGAAAGGCGAAAAGAACCCCGGCGAGGGGAGUGAAAAAGAACCUGAAACCGUGUACGUACAAGCAGUGGGAGCACAGAGCAAUCUGUGUGACUGCGUACCUUUUGUAUAAUGGGUCAGCGACUUAUAUUCUGUAGCAAGGUUAACCGAAUAGGGGAGCCGAAGGGAAACCGAGUCUUAACUGGGCGUUAAGUUGCAGGGUAUAGACCCGAAACCCGGUGAUCUAGCCAUGGGCAGGUUGAAGGUUGGGUAACACUAACUGGAGGACCGAACCGACUAAUGUUGAAAAAUUAGCGGAUGACUUGUGGCUGGGGGUGAAAGGCCAAUCAAACCGGGAGAUAGCUGGUUCUCCCCGAAAGCUAUUUAGGUAGCGCCUCGUGAAUUCAUCUCCGGGGGUAGAGCACUGUUUCGGCAAGGGGGUCAUCCCGACUUACCAACCCGAUGCAAACUGCGAAUACCGGAGAAUGUUAUCACGGGAGACACACGGCGGGUGCUAACGUCCGUCGUGAAGAGGGAAACAACCCAGACCGCCAGCUAAGGUCCCAAAGUCAUGGUUAAGUGGGAAACGAUGUGGGAAGGCCCAGACAGCCAGGAUGUUGGCUUAGAAGCAGCCAUCAUUUAAAGAAAGCGUAAUAGCUCACUGGUCGAGUCGGCCUGCGCGGAAGAUGUAACGGGGCUAAACCAUGCACCGAAGCUGCGGCAGCGACACUAUGUGUUGUUGGGUAGGGGAGCGUUCUGUAAGCCUGUGAAGGUGUACUGUGAGGUAUGCUGGAGGUAUCAGAAGUGCGAAUGCUGACAUAAGUAACGAUAAAGCGGGUGAAAAGCCCGCUCGCCGGAAGACCAAGGGUUCCUGUCCAACGUUAAUCGGGGCAGGGUGAGUCGACCCCUAAGGCGAGGCCGAAAGGCGUAGUCGAUGGGAAACAGGUUAAUAUUCCUGUACUUGGUGUUACUGCGAAGGGGGGACGGAGAAGGCUAUGUUGGCCGGGCGACGGUUGUCCCGGUUUAAGCGUGUAGGCUGGUUUUCCAGGCAAAUCCGGAAAAUCAAGGCUGAGGCGUGAUGACGAGGCACUACGGUGCUGAAGCAACAAAUGCCCUGCUUCCAGGAAAAGCCUCUAAGCAUCAGGUAACAUCAAAUCGUACCCCAAACCGACACAGGUGGUCAGGUAGAGAAUACCAAGGCGCUUGAGAGAACUCGGGUGAAGGAACUAGGCAAAAUGGUGCCGUAACUUCGGGAGAAGGCACGCUGAUAUGUAGGUGAAGUCCCUCGCGGAUGGAGCUGAAAUCAGUCGAAGAUACCAGCUGGCUGCAACUGUUUAUUAAAAACACAGCACUGUGCAAACACGAAAGUGGACGUAUACGGUGUGACGCCUGCCCGGUGCCGGAAGGUUAAUUGAUGGGGUUAGCGCAAGCGAAGCUCUUGAUCGAAGCCCCGGUAAACGGCGGCCGUAACUAUAACGGUCCUAAGGUAGCGAAAUUCCUUGUCGGGUAAGUUCCGACCUGCACGAAUGGCGUAAUGAUGGCCAGGCUGUCUCCACCCGAGACUCAGUGAAAUUGAACUCGCUGUGAAGAUGCAGUGUACCCGCGGCAAGACGGAAAGACCCCGUGAACCUUUACUAUAGCUUGACACUGAACAUUGAGCCUUGAUGUGUAGGAUAGGUGGGAGGCUUUGAAGUGUGGACGCCAGUCUGCAUGGAGCCGACCUUGAAAUACCACCCUUUAAUGUUUGAUGUUCUAACGUUGGCCCGUAAUCCGGGUUGCGGACAGUGUCUGGUGGGUAGUUUGACUGGGGCGGUCUCCUCCUAAAGAGUAACGGAGGAGCACGAAGGUUGGCUAAUCCUGGUCGGACAUCAGGAGGUUAGUGCAAUGGCAUAAGCCAGCUUGACUGCGAGCGUGACGGCGCGAGCAGGUGCGAAAGCAGGUCAUAGUGAUCCGGUGGUUCUGAAUGGAAGGGCCAUCGCUCAACGGAUAAAAGGUACUCCGGGGAUAACAGGCUGAUACCGCCCAAGAGUUCAUAUCGACGGCGGUGUUUGGCACCUCGAUGUCGGCUCAUCACAUCCUGGGGCUGAAGUAGGUCCCAAGGGUAUGGCUGUUCGCCAUUUAAAGUGGUACGCGAGCUGGGUUUAGAACGUCGUGAGACAGUUCGGUCCCUAUCUGCCGUGGGCGCUGGAGAACUGAGG
rnacentral:rRNA from 1 species